UGAAAUCCGUAGAUAUCUGGAGGAAUACCGGUGGCGAAGGCGGCCCCCUGGACAAAGACUGACGCUCAGGUGCGAAAGCGUGGGGAGCAAACAGGAUUAGAUACCCUGGUAGUCCACGCCGUAAACGAUGUCGAUUUGGAGGCUGUGUCCUUGAGACGUGGCUUCCGGAGUUAACGCGUUAAAUCGACCGCCUGGGGAGUACGGCCGCAAGGUUAAAACUCAAAUGAAUUGACGGGGGCCCGCACAAGCGGUGGAGCAUGUGGUUUAAUUCGAUGCAACGCGAAGAACCUUACCA
rnacentral:rRNA from 1 species